CCGUGCUAAGGUAGCAUAAUCAUUUGCCUUUUAAUUGGAGGCUAGUAUGAAAGGACAAACGAAAUUUUAACUGUCUCAUUUUUAUUUUCUAUAACUUAAACUUCAGGUGAAGAUGCCUGAAUUAUUUUGAAAGACAAGAAGACCCUAUAGAGUUUCAAUUUCAGUUAUCCCCCCGCUAUAACAACAAUUUUGGUUGGGGCGACCAAGGAUUACUAAAAACAUCCCUCCUUAUCACGGCUAUAAACCUUUUUACUGACCCUUAAUUUCACAAGAGCUACAAAAUUAACUACCUUAGGGAUAACAGGCUUAUCUUCCUAAAGAGUUCAAAUUGACAGGAAGGUCUGGCACCUCGAUGUUGGCUUAGAGUAACCUAUUAAUGCAACAGUUAAUCCAGGUCAGUUUGUUCAACUGUUAAAUCUCUACGUGAUCUGAUUCAGACCGGA
rnacentral:rRNA from 1 species